GGAUUAGAUACCCUGGUAGUCCAUGCCGUAAACGGUGGGCGCUAGGUGUGAGUCCCUUCCACGGGGUUCGUGCCGUAGCUAACGCAUUAAGCGCCCCGCCUGGGGAGUACGGCCGCAAGGCUAAAACUCAAAGGAAUUGACGGGGGCCCGCACAAGCGGCGGAGCAUGUGGAUUAAUUCGAUGCAACGCGAAGAACCUUACCUGGGCUUGACAUACACCAGAUCGCCGUAGAGAUACGGUUUCCCUUUGUGGUUGGUGUACAGGUGGUGCAUGGUUGUCGUCAGCUCGUGCCG
rnacentral:rRNA from 1 species